rnacentral:lncRNA from 13 species
CAGGUUGGGGGCUGGGAUCCUGGGGCAGGCUGGGCUGCGGUGGGUGACCAGCGUCCGCAGCACCGCCAGCCUGGAUGGAGGGAUCCAGCUGCAGAAGGGCCAGGACCUCAAGGUGCAUCUGAACACGCCCGAGGAGGCUGUGGAGCUGCUCAGCUUCAGCUCUCAGCUGUACGUCGUUACCAGGGAUGGCGUGAGGAGCCUUAGACACAUCCCUGUCCCUUCUGAGGCCCAGUCCUGUACUGGUGAGGA